GACGAACGCUGGCGGCGUGCCUAAUACAUGCAAGUAGAACGCAGUGGGGACGGGUGAGUAACACGUGGGUAACCUCCCAUCAGAGGGGAUAACACUUGGAAACAGGUGCUAAACCGAUACUGAUGGAUGGACCCGCGGUGCAUUAGCUAGUUGGUGAGGUAACGGCUCACCAAGGCCACGAUGCAUAGCGCACCCGAGAGGGUGAUCUGCCACACGGGGAAUGAGACACGGUCCAGACUCCUACGGGAGGCAGCAGUAGGGAAUCGUCGGCGAGGGACGAAAGUCUGACCGAGCAACGCCGCGAGAGUUAAGAAGGUUUUCGGAUCGUAAAACUCUGUGGUUAGAGAAGCGGUAUCUAACCAGAAAGCCACGGUGAACUACGUGACGGCAGCCGCGGUAAUAC
rnacentral:rRNA from 1 species